rnacentral:rRNA from 1 species
AACGAACGCUGGCGGCAUGCCUAACACAUGCAAGUCGAACGAGACCUUCGGGUCUAGUGGCGCACGGGUGCGUAACGUGUGGGAACCUGCCCUUAGGUUCGGAAUAACUCCCCGAAAGGGGUGCUAAUACCGGAUAAUGUCUUCGGACCAAAGAUUUAUCGCCUUUGGAUGGGCCCGCGUUGGAUUAGCUAGUUGGUAGGGUAAAAGCCUACCAAGGCGACGCUCCAUAGCUGGUCUGAGAGGAUGAUCAGCCACACUGGGACUGAGACACGGCCCAGACUCCUACGGGAGGCAGCAGUGGGGAAUAUUGGACAAUGGGCGAAAGCCUGAUCCAGCAAUGCCGCGUGAGUGAUGAAGGCCUUAGGGUUGUAAAGCUCUUUUACCCGGGAUGAUAAUGACAGUACCGGGAGAAUAAGCUCCGGCUAACUCCGUG